rnacentral:lncRNA from 1 species
CUGCUGCUGCUACUGAGGCCCAGGCCUCUCCCCUGUAAGCUUGAGAAGCACUUAGAACACAGGGACUCCUGACCAGCACCCUGAUAAGAGAAACCUAAGGGCCUGGGCUUUUUGCUUUGGUAAAGAAGAGAAACACCAGAGCCGGGGUGAGAAUGGUCCGUGGCUGUGGCGGAUACCGAGAGGAGGCUGUCUGGUUGGGUCAGCUGGGUGUGCACCCAAGGUUUUUUUCUUCUGUAGGCAUAGGCACCCAGAUGCCGUCCGGAAAGUAUGUGAACUCUAACUGCUUUGGAAACAAAACCAAGGCCACAGAGAAACUUUGGAAUUAUAAAAUGUAGCCUUCAUAAAAGGGGAGAGUGAACUUUUCUGUGAAGAAAACCAAUUGUGACAGUAGGGGUAAAGGAAAAUCAACUCCAAAUGGAAUCAUGUUUUAUUCAGGAUUUGUGCUGCCG